UACGUAGGGUGCAAGCGUUAAUCGGAAUUACUGGGCGUAAAGCGUGCGCAGGCGGCUUUGCAAGACAGAUGUGAAAUCCCCGGGCUUAACCUGGGAACUGCAUUUGUGACUGCAUGGCUGGAGUGCGGCAGAGGGGGGUGGAAUUCCGCGUGUAGCAGUGAAAUGCGUAGAUAUGCGGAGGAACACCGAUGGCGAAGGCAAUCCCCUGGGCCUGCACUGACGCUCAUGCACGAAAACGUGGGGAGCAAACAGG
rnacentral:rRNA from 1 species